rnacentral:rRNA from 1 species
UGGGGAAUAUUGCACAAUGGGCGCAAGCCUGAUGCAGCCAUGCCGCGUGUAUGAAGAAGGCCUUCGGGUUGUAAAGUACUUUCAGCGAGGAGGAAGGUGUUGUGGUUAAUAACCACAGCAAUUGACGUUACUCGCAGAAGAAGCACCGGCUAACUCCGUGCCAGCAGCCGCGGUAAUACGGAGGGUGCAAGCGUUAAUCGGAAUUACUGGGCGUAAAGCGCACGCAGGCGGUCUGUCAAAUCGGAUGUGAAAUCCCGGCUC